AGGUUUGAAAUUUCUCGACAGUUAACUGCAGCCGAUUUUUUAAAAUUUCGGCAGUUAACUGCCAAGGGGCAU
rnacentral:pre_miRNA from 1 species